UUGAUCCUGCGGAAGGUUGCUGCUAUCUGGGUUCGAUUAAGCCAUGCAAGUUUUCUCGUAAGAGAGGCAAACUGCUCAGUAACACGUCAAUAAUUUGCCCUUAGGUCUGGAAUAACCUUGGGAAACUGAGGCUAAUGCCGGAUAGGAUAAUUAUACUGGAAUGUAUUUAAUCCCAAAAGCAAUGCCUAAGGAUAAGUUGGCGGCGGAUUAGGUUGUUGGUGAGGUAAAGGCUCACCAAGCCGAAGAUCCGUAGGGGCCUUGAGAGAGGAAGCCUCGAGAAGGACACUGAGAUACUGGUCCUAGCCCUACGGGGUGCAGCAGGCGCGAAACCUUUACAAUGCACGCAAGUGUGAUAAGGGAACCCAGAGUGCUUUGCUUUUAGUAAGGCUUUUGCCAAGAGUAAAAAUCUUGGCGAAUAAAUGGUGGGCAAGACUGGUGCCAGCAGCCGCGGUAACACCAGCGCCAUGAGUGGCAAUCAUAAUUAUUGGGCCUAAAGCGCCCGUAGCCGGUCUGAGCAGUCUUUUGUGAAUCGUUGUGCUUAACAUAACGGUGUGCAAGAGAUACCAUCAGACUAGGAACCGGAGAAGAGUCGGAGGUAUUCUGGGGGGAGCGGUAAAAUGCUAUAAUCCCCGGAGGACCACCUGUGGCGAAAGCGUCCGACUAGAACGGCUUCGACGGUGAGGGACGAAAGCCAGGGGAGCGAACCGGAUUAGAUACCCGAGUAGUCCUGGCCAUAAACACUGUGAGCUAGGUGUCGCACAUUCUUCGCGAAUGUGCGGUGUCGAAAUGAAGAUGUUAAGCUCACCGCCUGGGAAGUAUGGUCGCAAGGCUGAAACUUAAAGGAAUUGGCGGGGAGCACCACCAGGGGUGCGGCGUGCGGUUUAAUCUAAUUCAACGCAGAGCAUCUCACCAGAAGCGACGGCAGGAUGAAGGUCAGUCUAAAGGGCUUACCUGACGAGCCGAGAGGUAGUGCAUGGCCGUCGUCAGCUCGUGCCGUAAGGUGUCCUGUUAAGUCAGGCAACGAGCGAGACCUGUAUCCACAAUUGCUAACAACUCUUUUUAGAGCAUUGAGCACAUUGUGGGAACUGCCCUCGAAAGGGGGAGGAAGGUGCAGGCUACGGUAGGUCUGUACGCUCCGAAUCUUCUGGGCUACACGCGCGCAACAAUGGUAAGGACAAUGUGAUACGACUCCGAAAGGAGAAGUUAAUCCUCUAAACCUUACCCUAGUACAGAUUGAGGGCUGUAACUCGCCCACAUGACGAUGGGAUCCCUAGUAAUCAGACGUCAUCAUCGUCUGGUGAAUAUGUCCCUGCUCCUUGCACACACCGCCCGUCAAACCAUCCGAGCAGGGUUUAGGUAAGACUUGGCUUUUAGUCAAGCCGAAUCUAAACUCAGUGAGGCGGGUUAAGUCGUCACAAGGUA
rnacentral:rRNA from 1 species